rnacentral:rRNA from 1 species
AUUGAACGCUGGCGGCAGGCCUAACACAUGCAAGUCGAACGGUAACAGGAAGCAGCUUGCUGCUUCGCUGACGAGUGGCGGACGGGUGAGUCAUGUCUGGGAAACUGCCUGAUGGAGGGGGAUAACUACUGGAAACGGUAGCUAAUACCGCAUAACGUCGCAAGACCAAAGAGGGGGACCUUAGGGCCUCUUGCCAUCGGAUGUGCCCAGAUGGGAUUAGCUAGUAGGUGGGGUAACGGCUCACCUAGGCGACGAUCCCUAGCUGGUCUGAGAGGAUGACCAGCCACACUGGAACUAAGACACGGUCCAGACUCCUACGGGAGGCAGCAGUGGGGAAUAUUGCACAAUGGGCGCAAGCCUGAUGCAGCCAUGCCGCGUGUAUGAAGAAGGCCUUCGGGUUGUAAAGUACUUUCAGCGGGGAGGAAGGGAGUAAAGUUAAUACCUUUGCUCAUUGACGUUACCCGCAGAAGAAGCACCGGCUAACUCCGUG